UACGUAGGGCGCGAGCGUUGUCCGGAAUUAUUGGGCGUAAAGAGCUCGUAGGCGGUCUGUCGCGUCGGCUGUGAAAACCCGGGGCUCAACUCCGGGCUUGCAUUCGAUACGGGCAGGCUAGAGUUCGGUAGGGGAGUCUGGAAUUCCUGGUGUAGCGGUGAAAUGCGCAGAUAUCAGGAGGAACACCGGUGGCGAAGGCGGGACUCUGGGCCGAUACUGACGCUGAGGAGCGAAAGCGUGGGGAGCGAACAGG
rnacentral:rRNA from 1 species